UACCAGCACCCCGAGUGGUCGGGACGUUUAUUGGGCCUAAAGCAUCCGUAGCCGGUUCUACAAGUCUUCCGUUAAAUCCAGCUGCUUAACAGAUGGGCUGCGGAAGAUACUAUGGAGCUAGGAGGCGGGAGAGGCAAGCGGUACUCGAUGGGUAGGGGUAAAAUCCGUUGAUCCAUUGAAGACCACCAGUGGCGAAGGCGGCUUGCCAGAACGCGCUCGACGGUGAGGGACGAAAGCUGGGGGAGCAAACCGG
rnacentral:rRNA from 1 species